rnacentral:rRNA from 1 species
UACGUAGGGCGCAAGCGUUGUCCGGAAUUAUUGGGCGUAAAGAGCUCGUAGGCGGCCUGUUACGUCUGCUGUGAAAUCCCGGGGCUUAACCCCGGGCGUGCAGUGGAUACGGGCAGGCUGGAGGCAGGCAGGGGAGAACGGAAUUCCCGGUGUAGCGGUGAAAUGCGCAGAUAUCGGGAGGAACACCGGUGGCGAAGGCGGUUCUCUGGGCCUGUACUGACACUGAGGAGCGAAAGCGUGGGGAGCGAACAGG